GACGCACACGCAUCAGAGAAAAGUGCAGGAAAUGUGGACUAAGCCUUUCGUUUGCCAGGCGCUGUGCUAACACCUCACAGGCAUUGGCUGCUUACUCCGCCAGCAGUUCCGUGGGGCAGAAACUGCUGUGAACCCCGGUUAAUAGACGGGAAAACCGAGCACAGAGAGGGACCCAAUGGAAAGAAGAUCCAGGAGACUGGCGAAUGGAGACCAGUGUGAGCUUUUUAUCGAUAAACUGGACAGCAUGGCCUCCUAUCUGUGGUCAGAGGUUUUACUGCGCUCCACUUUCCUGCCGUGGACCUGGGACAGCCCACCAGGGAAAACACAAACGAGGCAUCUCUCAAGCAGAACCUGCUUCCUGGGUCACAAUUUCUACCUCUGGACCGGCAGCAUGAUCCCCCUGUCCCCCCAGGUUGUCUGCACGAGGCUUUAGAAGAUGCCCUCUCCAGCUGUCGCAUGCAAAGGACUCACCUGGGUAUCUCGUGAAAAUGUAGAUUCUGACGGAGUAGACCUUGGGACUGGGGCCUUGAGAGUCUGCACCAGCCCUGAGUGAUGUCACUGUUGGUUGGCCUAGCAUGUUUGGAAUAGCAAGAUUUACUGGCUUUUGCCUCCAGAAGUUUUCCCACUCGGUUUUGCAUAUGAGGAUGUAGGCAGACAAACUCAAGAACGGAGGCUGGUCAGUAUCUGUAUAGAGCUUUGACUCUUACUUUCGUAAACCGUUCCUGCAGGGCUGCUCUCCCCCAGACUUUGCUCCUUCUUGUCCAUGUCCCUUUCCCUAGCUGGACAACCGGGAAGCGAUGUGUUGAUGCUUGUGUGUGCCACAGUUGUGCCUCAGGUUGUCUUCCACUGUCAUACAACGUAAUUUCUUUUCAUUUUCUUUGAUGUCCCUUUUUCACUGAGAACCUGAUUCAGGAUACCGUGGAUGGUAGCUAAGGGUAACAGCAGGCCUCACAUGUGCACAAAGCUCCUUAAUACCCACAAGACAGUAGGGGUAGAGGCUAUGGGCCAGGGCUCCAGAGUCUGCCCACCUACAUUCAAAUCCUGCCUCUGCUACUUUCUAGCUGGCCGGCCUUGGGCAAGUUACUUAACCUCUCUGUGCUUCCAUUUCAUCAUUUGCACAAUGUGGCUAACGAUGCUUCAUGAGUCGUUGAGAAGAUCGAAUGAGAUAAUGUGUGUGAGGCACUCAGAACGGACCUGACAUAUAGGAGGCCCUCGAUCACAAUCGGUGAUGUUAUAAUUCCUCAAUCCCAUGAGGAAGCCGAGGGAACCCGAGGCUCAAUGAGGAGAAGUGAGUCGCACUCAGGAUUCCACAUCAAGAAUGGUGGCACAAUUGGGACCAGAUCUGACUCCAACUCCAGUGCUCACUGCACCCCCACCAUACUUCCAAAUGCCAAGUUUUAUUACCCUAAGAUUUUAGCACAGAGUGUGGCUGCUUUCCCAGCGUUUGACUGAUCUUUUGUUUCCUUUCCUUCUAAUGGAGCAUUUCCAGCUGGGGUGAUUCAUGGAUCUGGGACCGCAUGGCUCCCAUUAACUUCGAGGAAAGUCAUAAGGCAAAACCCACAUCAAUCAAGCUUCCAAAUUAUUCAUCUAUCUUUACAGGUGACACGUGGAUUAAGACGAACAGGGAGUGAAGUGGGUAUCGUACAAUAACUAUUUAGAUUUAUGAAAAUUGCCUAAGAGCUUAUGCCAAGUCCCCACACUGAACUUUGUUUUGUUUUCACAAGGUUGAACUUUAGGGAUGAGAGAGAGGAUGUCACAAGAGAAUGGCCUUGAAGCUUGAAGUCCGAGGGGCUGGGACUCCCAGCUUCACUACUAGUUAGACUUGUGAUUUUUGAGAAAGGCUUUUAACCUCUUAGAACCUGUUUUCUCGUUCUGUUAUUAUUCAUCCUUACAAUAAACCAAGGAGUUAGUUACUAUCCCCAUUUUACAGAUGUUGAAACUGAGGUACUGAGAAGUUAAGUGACUUGAUGGUGACCAAAAAAUAAAGCAGCCUUCGAACCCCCUAUAUUUGAGUCCAGAAACCUAUGUCCUUUUACCACUCUAGCCCAUAAAUGAAAUGACAAGUCUAAAAACAGCAGGCGCUGUGUAGGAGCUUAAGAAACCUUUACUCAAUCUGAAUCUUGAGGACAAAACUCAUGUCAUAUUAAUCCCUUCUUCUCUAUUGUACCUUUGUACUUAGUAGGUUCUCAAUUAAUAAGAGUUGAGCUGCCUUAUUACCCCUCUGGAAAUGGUUCUGUUUUUAUUUAAUAAUUUUCUUAGAUGAAUUUUAAUAGGCAGACCACAAUGCUUCUUGUACAAUAUCUUCUGGACUGUGAGGCGCGGGCAUUCAUUAUUUUAUGAGACGCAUAUGUCAUGCAUAACACAGCCCUUUUCUUAAACCAACACAACAUGCAAAUAGAAAUUUCAUGUAAAAUCACAUUCAGACAGUCUCAAAGUAGAAACAGAUGUCUGAAAAAUAUGAACGCCAGGCUUAUUAAAUAUUUUAUCAUCA